rnacentral:lncRNA from 1 species
UUAGAUGUUCGGCAGAAAGUGAUGCAAUUACUUGGUGACCUGCUUGCUUUACCUGGUGCAUCAAUCUCUGAAUCCUUUCAGCCACUCUUUUCAGAGUUUUUAAAGAGAUUGACUGAUAGGGUAGUGGAAGUCCGUAUUUCUGUAAUUGAACACUUGAAGCAUUGCCUGAUAUCAAAUCCUUCCCGACCUGAAGCUCCUCAGAUCAUCAAGGCGCUAAGCGAUCGAUUGUUGGAUUACGAUGGAAAUGUUCGGAAACAAGUUGUUUCUGCAGUUUAUGAUGUGGCUUGCCAUUCGUUGAAAAUCAUUCCAGCUGAGAUAGCUAGGCUGGUUGCAGAACGCCUUCGAGACAAAUCUCUGUCUGUCAAAAGAUAUACAAUGGAAAGGCUGGCUGAUUUAUACAAACUUAAUUGCAUAAAGAGCUCUGAGAGCUCGAUAGAUAUUGAAGAUUUUGAGUGGAUACCAGGGAAGAUAUUGAGAUGCUUAUAUGACAAAGAUUUUAGAUUGGAGACGAUCGAGCUUAUUUUGUGUGGUUCUUUGUUCCCAUCUGAGUUCUCAAUCAAAGAUAAGGUGAAACAUUGGGUAACAAUUUUCUCGAGGUUUGAUAAAGUUGAGGUCAAGGCUCUUGAACAGGUUCUUUUGCAAAAGCACAGGUUACAGCAAGAAUUGCAGAAGUAUCUCUCUCUUAGACAGACACAUCAGGAAGAUGCCCCUGACCUUCAAAAGAGAAUUUCUGGCUCCUUCCGUAUUAUGUCUCGCUUGUUCAGUGAUCCUGCAAAGGCCGAGGAGAGUUUUGUGACUCUCAAUCAGCUAAAAGAUGUGAAUAUAUGGAAAAUUCUGACAAGCCUACUUGAUCCUAGCACUAGUUUCUGUCAAGCAUGGUCAUAUCGGGAUGAAUUGCUUAAGAUCCUUGGAGAAAGACACCCACUUUAUGAUUUUAUGGGAAUGCUUUCAAUAAAAUGUUCAUAUCUACUCUUCAAUAAGGAGUAUGUUAAGGAGAUUCUUUCAGAAACUGCUGCACAACAAUCUGUUGGAAAUACAAGGCUUGUGUCAUCAUGCAUGAAUCUACUUACUUUUUCUUUUUCUUCUUCUCAUACUUUCUUCUAUGACUGUCUUUUCUUUCUUGUCUUCUUCCCUAGCAUAUUAUAUAUGUUUAGAGUUGUGCUCCUCUCAAGCUUAAGACCUAUUUCUUCUGUAUUUUCUUUUUAAAGAGUUGAUUUUGUGGAAUUUGUGGAACUAGGAUUAUUCUAUGGCGGCACGGAGGCUUGCGAUGAAUGUCAUAGAACAUUGUGCACGAAAACUUGAGCCUUGCAUAAUGCAGUUUCUUGUAUCAUCGCUAUCAGGCGACAAUAGUUAUUUGAACAAAUCGCUUGACCAUCACGAAGUCAUCUAUGAUAUAUAUCAGUGUGCACCCCAGAUUCUCACAGGAAUCACUCCUUAUAUUACAGGAGAGUUGCUGGUAAGGACUCCAUAUUGCUAAUUGUCUUUAUUAUUACCUUCUCUUUAAUAGAUGCUACUGUUCUUUGUAACUUAAGGUGUGCCAGGAUGGUAUGAACUGAUCUUAUCUAUAUUUAAAUAAUUCCUAAUUCUCUGGAAUUCCAAUGUCAUUGUCUUUGUUCAUUUGCGCUAAGCAAUGCUGUAGUUCUUAAACUAUCUUCUCUCACCUAAGUUAAAUUCACGAAUCCAUAGCCAAGUGGUGUAUCUAUUCCUUUUAGGCAUUCAAAGUCAAUUUAUGCUAGCCUUUGAUUCAUAAGAUCUUUGUAAGGGAUCUACCUAAUUCCCAGCCUUGUCUUGACUGUGAUGAUGUCCACUUAUAAAAUAUGAACUGAUUUAUUAUUCCAUCUAAUAGUUGAACAUGUUAAAAAAUUAUGUAAAUAGUUAAAGACAUGAAAUAAGCUGACAAGAAUAUAAACUUGUAGGUAUAUAUGCUUUACUACAUAGCCACAUUUUUUUUAAGUGGUCAAUGUUUCAUUAUAGUUCUGUAUUAUUAGAGAAUUUGUGUCUGGGUCCUUUUUUCCUCCUCUCUAUGGCUACUUGUUGGUUAUUGUACUAUCCAGAUAUAUUUGGACCCAUAACUUUGACUCAUUUAUUAGUAAAUUGCAUUCUUAAGUUGUGGGUUACAUUAAAAACAUUUUGGUCUUUCAAGUGGUUGCAGAAGCGAAAAAGGCUCCUGCUGCUCCUCUGUACCUUGCCUUCUGCUUCUGUCUUCUAGGUUUUACUCUGCUACAUCUCUUUUUCUUUCAAUUUUAGGCUUGAAGACUUUAAGGAAUAUUAUGCUUAGCUUAUUUAGAUCUUCUGCCUGUUGUUUUGCAGGCCUGGUAAUAGUUACCUGUAUGGACGAAACAUCGGAUCUAAAUUUCAGUCAGUUUUUGAGACUUAGAUACAAAAACUUAGGUUAUCUGUGAGGAACCAUGUUUUAUUUAAUUUAGUGAAAGCACAUUAAACAAUAGCUUAAUUUGUUGGAAAGAGUUCCCCAGUCAGAAGGUAUAUGAAUGCAAAAUUCCAUAGCUCAACAAGCCAUAAAAGUGCAUAUUUCGAGAUAUUUCUGUGUAAGCUUGGUUAGACCAGUAUUUUAAUUCAGUGUGGUUACUUUGUGAUUUUAAGAUUGGAAACAUUGACAUCAUCAUGACCUUCAUUAACCACGAUGAGUGAUGCAAUGGGAGGCUAUUCUUCUAAUUUUACCCAAAAAAUAAUUAUCAUCGAUUUAAUUAAAAUUUAAUGAUAAAAAUGAUGAAAUGUUCUAAGAGCCUUGGGUCAUUCACUCUUGAUGUGGAUAAUUUAUUGCAGUUCUGAUAUUAGGAAAUUAUCGAUCGUAUUUAAAUUAGAUAGCCUAGAUCUUUUUUGCCCUUCUUAAAUUAAACAAAGAAUAUUUUAGUAGUUCUGACUCCUUAAUUUUAAACUUCUAUAGACAGAUAAGUUAGAUGUUCGGCUGAAGGCGGUGCAAUUACUUGGUGACCUGUUUGCUUUACCUGGUGUAUCAAUCUCUGAAUCUUUUCAGCCACUCUUCUCUGAGUUUUUAAAGAGAUUGACUGAUAGGGUAGUGGAAGUCCGUAUUUCUGUAAUUGAACACUUGAAGCAUUGCCUGAUAUCAAAUCCUUCCCGACCUGAAGCUCCUCAGAUCAUCAGUAAGGAGGCAUAGUCUGAUUUGUGUUUUGAUUAGCUAUUAAUACGCUUUUUGUUUAUCAUUUCUGUUGUGAUGGUUGUCCUUGUUUUCAGAGGCGCUAAGCGAUCGAUUGUUGGAUUACGAUGGAAAUGUUCGGAAACAAGUUGUUUCUGCAGUUUAUGAUGUGGCUUGCCAUUCGUUGAAAAUCAUUCCAGCUGAGAUAGCUAGGCUGGUUGCAGAACGCCUUCGAGACAAAUCUGUUUGUCCUGCUUAUCUUUAUUGCUAAUUGAUUAAAUUUGUUUUUUAUGAUUAAUUUCAUAACAUGGUUUUCUUUUUAAAUAUUUUCAGCUGUCUGUCAAAAGAUAUACAAUGGAAAGGCUGGCUGAUUUAUACAAACUUAAUUGCAUAAAGAGCUCUGAGAGCUCGAUAGAUAUUGAAGAUUUUGAGUGGAUACCAGGGAAGAUAUUGAGAUGCUUAUAUGACAAAGAUUUUAGGUAAGAAUUAUCCAGGACAGUGGCGGUUUUGGUUGCUCAUGUGGUGUUUUGUUGACAAUUGUUACUUGAUAUGUAUGAAAUGGAUCCAAAUAUCAUUUGCAUUAAGUAUAUUAGAGGAACUCUAGAAGUUGCACAAAUUAAGGACAAAGUGAUCGAGAAUUGAUUUAGAUGGUAUAGACAUGUAAAAUGAAUGUUCAAGGGGACUUCAAUAAGGCGAGGAACUUUAAUUAUUGUAGGAGAGAAAGUGGAAGAACUAAUGUAAGUAUAUAGCAUGGAUGGAAGUUGUGAGAAAGGAUAUUGAAAGCUGGAAAUAGCAUCAUGGAUUGCCCUAAAAGGGAAUGCUUGGCAUAUGAGAUUCAUAGAGCUGACCCUGAGUAAUUGGGAGAAGACCUGAUGCAUUUGUUGUAUAACAUGUAUGAUGGAAUAAUAGUAACCAUAACCAUGAAACCUUUUCCAGCAAUUUAGGGCUUUCUUAAGUGUUAAUGCAAGCUUUUCCAAGUCCAUUUUCUCUGCUUCAAUCAGUUCUUGCUUUGACCUUCCCCUUUUUAAUUGGUCCUUGAAUACAAAUUCAAUCAUUUUGCUAAUUGGUACAGUCUCAUAAUUUUGUUGCAUGUGCUGAUCACUGUUGCAAUCAGUUUUUCAAAAAAAAUGAAAGUUGUGGUACUUGAUGUCACUCUACAGUUGCUAUUACUUGUUAGUUAGCAAAGGGCAAAUCCUUGUGUAUGGUCAUUGACAAUGCAAGAUUUUGAUGCACAGACAAUCAUGUCAUAUAUAUCAUGUUUCCAUUAGUUGAUAAUAUUCAUGUUUAGCUCCCUCAAAUAUGUCUUCUAAUGAAGGACCAAAAUGCCUGUCUAUACCAUUUCUCAAUUAUGAUACAUGUCAUGCCAACAAGUCAUUAAUACUAUGCCAGGUGCCUACAUUUAUACUUACUGCGCUAGUCAAUAUCAUAUUGGCUUUUAUGCGUGCAUUUUGAAACAAUAUGCACUUGUAUAGGAUGGCAAUGACAAAAUAGCCAUUCGACAUUAACUGUAGCUGAGAAACAAAGGUGAUCCAUUCUCCAUUGUACAUAAUCUCCUUGUAAUGCUACUAAUAUAUAGCGUUACAUUGUAUUGACAAUAUGUUCACAACAUUCAACAUGCGUUGUUAAGUUGUAAACAAGUCGCAGGUUCCCAUGUAGUUUUUAUCAUGAAUUUUAAGCCUAGACAUGUGUAUCUAUCUCAGUUUUAUGAGAGAUUACUUGAAAUGAACCCAUAUACAUGUUGAACGACAACCAACACCAACGUUGAUAUCAAAAGCGAUAUUAUAUCUUAAUUUUUAUGUAUUAGUUCAACUAUAUAUAUAUAUAUAUAUAUAUGUUCCAAACCUGUCUAUAUUCUAGUAUAAAUCAGUUAUAAUUGGUCUAUCUUACAAAGAAUGAUUGAAUAAAGCAGUAUAUCUUAGUUUUUAUGGAUUGACUAAACUAUAUUUUUUUGCUUCAAACCUGUCUAUAUUCUAGUAUAGAUUAGUCAUAAUUGGUUGAGUUUACCAAGAAUGUUUGAAUAAAGCAGUGUAUCUUGCAUGCUGAUUGUGAAUCAGAGGUUAAAGCACCGGUAGACAUGGUUGAUCUGACACAAUAUGUUCUGUGCCAGUUUCUGCUAGCACAUGACACUGGCAUAUUACAGGCUGCAUGCAACCAUGCCAAGCACUGGCAUAGCACAACAUUCCUUGGUACAUAAUGUGCCAGUGCCAGCCAAUUGUCUCCAUUCUUGCUAUGAAUCUUGUUUUCAUUACAGUGCUAGCCAAUUAUCUCCGUGGUAUGAUGCAGUUCGCAUACUGUGCUGACUUCUGACUCGCACAAUCAUGUUAUGCUACACUUUAAUCCCUUUGGUCUUAUUAAACUUCAUAUUGUUGCCUAUGUUCCUUGACAUGGUUGCGAAAUGCUUAAUGCAAGUUUGUGCUGAAAAGGUGAUUCUUCUAAAUUCUUAGGCCUUGUAAUUCAUUUUAGAGUUUUAGGAAAACAAGGACUGAAGAACAUACGUAAGAAUGAUUGUGAAAAUAUAUUAUCUUAAUUCUUAUAUCUGUACGUUAAGUCUUCCCAAGUUUUUAAUUUCAACCACAAUGUGCUUGGUAUCGGCUGGACUAAAAUGAAACCAAUCCCAGUAUGGCAUUUCAUUUGGUUUAGCACUUCAAUUGUGAUUGUGGCCAAUAUUGUUAGUUUAAAUCAGGGACUGCUGAACCCAGCCGAACUGUCCGGUUCAGCUUGAAUCAAACUAACCCGUCGGACGACCUAGUCUAUGACCGGGUCAGUUCUCCAUUAGAAAAUGGUUCCGGCCACCUAGGAGCAGGAACCUGAUUGGAUCUGGCUGGAACCGGUCGGAACCGGACGGUUCUGUCCGGUUCGACUCGGUCCAAACCGUACUGAUCAUAGACUGGGUAUGGGUCUUUGUACCGGUUCGGCGAACCUUGUUUUAAAUUGACAUACGGAUGGCACAUUAGUUUCAUUUGUGUUGACUUUCAUUUUUUUUGAGUUGGAAGAGGAGCAUGCCUUCAGGUAAUAGAUUCUUUGUGUGAAAGACAUUUUAGAAUGAUGUGGCAUGAAUUUCGUUUGCUUUGAGAAGACUGGAAUUCAAGAAGCUGUCUCUCUAUGUUGAUGGUCAUAUUUGUUCAUAUGAAGUAAGAUCUUGCUUAUAUUCCAUGAAGUGUCCCAGAUUUGAAAAUAAUGUGAUCUAACAAAGAACCAAAAUUUAUUUUUUAUUCUCUUUUUUCUAUACAAUAUAUGGUAUAGGUAGUGUGGUUUAUCAUUUUCUCUAACUUGUGAUAUUUCCUAAAUUUUUCCUAAAUUUAAACAUUUUCCUCUUAUUUUUUGGUAUUUUCCUUGUUUUGUGUUGGAUUUUAAUGUUUAUAUCAUUUGGACGGAAACCAGAGAUGAUAACCAAUAAUUUGUAAUACUAUUUUUUUUGUUAUAACUUGUAAUGUUUGUCUUUGUUUAGUAAACUUUUUUCUUGAUAUUUUUUCCUUUGAUGGUGAAUAGUCACUUAUUUAUAUGGUUUUGGACCAGAAUUGCUUAAAUGGAGCAAAUUUUCAAUUUUUUGCCUUAACCUGAACCAUGGACAAAACAAAGCCUUCUUCUUCUUGAGAAAAGGGAGGCCUAAUUAAUUUCUGCAGAACCAUGUUUUUGAGAACUUAAUUUGUACAGCCUUAGCAUUUCAGUAACCAGUUGUGGGAUUUUUUUUUUCAAAAAAAAUCUAGCAAAAUAUGUUCAAUAAUUAACAACUAGUGGUAGCUUGACUGCUAUAAUUUAAAGCAAUUUCUGAUUUCUUUUAUAUUUGUCUGUAUGGCCUUUAGGAACAUCUUGUGGCCAGGUGGAGAGACAAUUAGCAUCGAAAAACAAGGAGGACUGUGAACUUGUGGACCAAACAUAUGUGGUUAUAGGGCCCUUUCCUUUUGUUGAUUGAAACAGUACUUUUCCUUAUUUGAAGUCUCAGCAUCAGUAGUUCUGAGAUACCACCUUGUUGAACAGAGGUCCUUGUAACAUGUUAUUCUAGCCACUCUAGGAACAAGGAUGUCUAUUUCUUUUCUCCCUCAUCGAUCAAAGCAAAUUAUGUUUUGAGCCAGUUUCCGGAAGUUGAUAUGAUUUAAUUGCAUUAAGAAAUAUUGGGCCUCUUUUUGCUUAGUGGGCUCUAUAUUUUGUAGGAAAAUCAUUUAUUCUUCAUCUUAGAGUUACACAGUAGUGCUCAUCCGAACACUCUGUUAAUUUCCUUUUUCAUUAACAGAGUUGUUCAGUUUUUUGUAGAACUAACAAUAAAUUGUGCGCUCUAGCAAUAUCUAAAGUGAGUAAACACCAUCCUAUGAGAGAACUAUGUAUUGAAUUAUAAUUUUUGUUCCUAAGCCUCCAAAUACAUUUGCUUUCUGCUGUUUCUCCAUGGAAGUUGGUUGUAAGUGUAUUAAGGGUUUUGAGCAAGGAUACCUCUGUUGGAUGAUAGAGCAUCCUAUUGAGCAACUUGGUUUGAUUUCGCCCCCUUUUUUCUGUCCUUUUAAAGAGGAUAUGCUUGUAACAUUUCGGGGAACUUCAUACAGAUUGGAGACGAUCGAGCUUAUUUUGUGUGGUUCUUUGUUCCCAUCUGAGUUCUCAAUCAAAGAUAAGGUGAAACAUUGGGUAACAAUUUUCUCGAGGUUUGAUAAAGUUGAGGUCAAGGCUCUUGAACAGGUUCUUUUGCAAAAGCACAGGUUUGUAUAGAUUCCAUCAUGAUUUUAUGGGAUUUCCAAUGUUGUCUGUUUAGUUAAGUAUCUUGUAUUUGAUAGGCUUUGCACGGAUUUUCAGGUGAUUUCCUCUUGGAUUGCAGGUUACAGCAAGAAUUGCAGAAGUAUCUCUCUCUUAGACAGACACAUCAGGUUUGCAAAUAUUUGAUAUUGUCAGUACAAUUACAUAAUUUCAAGAUGCUGUUACAAAUCAGUCUCGCUGAAAAGCAGGAAGAUGCCCCUGACCUUCAAAAGAGAAUUUCUGGCUCCUUCCGUAUUAUGUCUCGCUUGUUCAGUGAUCCUGCAAAGGCCGAGGAGAGUUUUGUGACUCUCAAUCAGCUAAAAG